rnacentral:tRNA from 1 species
CCGGCCGCUGCGGUGCCCACAGACGAUGGACAUGAGGUUUUUCAGACUAUGGG